rnacentral:rRNA from 1 species
GUAGGGUGCGAGCGUUAAUCGGAAUUACUGGGCGUAAAGUGUGCGCAGGUGGCCGCGCAAGUCGAGUGUGAAAUCCCCGGGCUUAACUUGGGAAUUGCGCUCGAAACUACGUGGCUAGAGUGUGGCAGAGGGAGGUGGAAUUCCACGUGUAGCGGUGAAAUGCGUAGAGAUGUGGAGGAACACCAAUGGCGAAGGCAGCCUCCUGGGCCAACACUGACACUCAUGCACGAAAGCGUGGGGAGCAAACAGGAUUAGAUACCCUGGUAGUCCACGCCCUAAACGAUGAUGACUAGUUGUUGGGGGAGUUAAAUCCCUUAGUAACGCAGCUAACGCGCGAAGUCAUCCGCCUGGGGAGUACGGUCGCAAGAUUA